GACGAACGCUGGCGGCGUGCCUAAUACAUGCAAGUUGAGCGCUGAAGGUUGGUACUUGUACCAACUGGAUGAGCAGCGAACGGGUGAGUAACGCGUGGGGAAUCUGCCUUUGAGCGGGGGACAACAUUUGGAAACGAAUGCUAAUACCGCAUAAAAACUUUAAACACAAGUUUUAAGUUUGAAAGAUGCAAUUGCAUCACUCAAAGAUGAUCCCGCGUUGUAUUAGCUAGUUGGUGAGGUAAAGGCUCACCAAGGCGAUGAUACAUAGCCGACCUGAGAGGGUGAUCGGCCACAUUGGGACUGAGACAUGGCCCAAACUCCUACGGGAGGCAGCAGUAGGGAAUCUUCGGCAAUGGACGAAAGGCUGACCGAGCAACGCCGCGUGAGUGAAGAAGGUUUUCGGAUCGUAAAACUCUGUUGGUAGAGAAGAACGUUGGUGAGAGUGGAAAGCUCAUCAAGUGACGGUAACUACCCAGAAAGGGACGGCUAACUACGUG
rnacentral:rRNA from 1 species